GACUCCUCUACCCCUGCGUGGGAUAUGAGUCGUCCCCAGAGCUCUGGCUUUCCCCGAAUAAAGCCUCAUGUGGUUUGCAACAAGCUCGGUCUGUCGUGAGUUCUUGGGUGUCUGCUAUUGUCCUGAGGCCUGAGCGAGGGGCUCCUCUCGAAGUCUUUCAUUUGGGGGCUCGUCCGGGAUUAGCGUGACCACCCAUGUCUCCGAAGACCCACUUGGAGGUGAAAUUUUUUGUCCAAAAAUAUUUCUGUAAGCUGGCUAGGUUCUGUGCUGAAAUUUGCAGCCGCGAUGUUUCGUGAGAAACAGAGACCUUUGCCUCGGGAUGAGGCACUGAGUGUGAACAGCAGACGUGCUGGAAUCACCGGCUGCUGCUCACUCUGGGGGACGCCCUGAGCGAGGGGAAGGACUCUAGGAGUCCAUCUGAGGCGGGGAGUGUACUCCCUCGACCGUCUGCAUUUCUGAGUUGGUUUUGUCUGUUUGAUGGAAAACAGGCAUCUGUCAGUGUGUAUUUGUUUUUUGUGUUUGUUUUCAGGCAUUUGUCAGUGUGUAUUUGUUUUUUGUGUCUGUUUUCAGGUAUUUGUCAGUGUGUGUAUGUGUGUUUUCUGUGUUUGUUUUGUGUUUUCCGUGGUACUGGAAGGACUGUAACGACCCCCCUAAGUUUGACUUUAGACCACUGGACUGAAGUUAGAUCAAGGGCCCAUAAUCUUUCAGUAGAAAUUAAGAAGGGACCUUGGCAGACUUUCUGCGCCUCCGAGUAGCCGACUUUUAAUGUAAAAUGGUCACUAGAAGGGACUUUUGGUUUACUCUUAUCUUUGAAGUUAAAGCCAUUGUUUUUCAGAGUGGACCUGGGUCCCACCUGGAUCAACAGCCUUACCUCAUUCAGAAUUCACCGCCAUAAAUCAAAUCAUGGGUUCCCCCACGCCUCUCAGAGCCCUCCCCUGGCUGCUCCCAUGCACUCGAGUGGGUCAGCACAGUGCCCUCGCUUUCUGCCCUAAGAAGCAGUCCCUGCACCCAGCUCUGAGAUUGCUAAAGGCACAGUCUGAGGACCAAGGACCUACAGCUGGGACCCGGAGCCGACAAGCCCAGAGUCCCCCAGCAGAUGAAGCUCCUGACACCACUUCUGCCUUUUCCUUUGUGAGCUGUGGGUAACCCGCCCACAGACAGGCAGUCUCUGCAGACCCUUCAAUAUUCGCCUUUCUCAUCGGCUGAUCUGUACAAUUAGAACACUGGGUUCCCUCUGGACCGGCCAGAUUAGAACUACAACACGGCACAAGGUAAGGAGAGGUUGACAGUUUACUGGCCGGGCUCUAGUCUAAAGGGAGCGAUGAGACGCCCCACCAAUUUGGCUAAGGUAAGAGAAGUGAUGCAGGGCCUUACAGAGCCCCCAUCUGUUUUUCUAGAAAGACUGAUAGAAGCUUAUAGAUACUAUACUCCUUUUAACCCGACCUCUGAGGGUUAACAAGCCGCAGUUGCUAUGGCUUUUAAAGAUUACAUGCCAUGGCUUUACAAGAUUUAGUUAAGGAGGCACAGAAGGUGUAUCCCAAGGGAAAAUAAGAGGGAAAGAAGACAGGAGAGGAAUUUAAGCAGGAUUUUGGCCUCAGUAGUAGGGGAACGUAAAGAAAGGAACAGGCCAGAGAAUAGAUAUACAGGGUACCUGGGCAACAAGGAACCCAGACCUAAAAGAAGAUCUGUCCAGAAGAUUUUAGAGAAGGACCAAUGUGCCUAUUGCAAGGAAAAAGGACAUUGGGCAUGAGAAUGCCCAAAGAAAAAGGGAAGGGCCCCUAAGGUCCUGACUCUGAAAGAUGAUAAAUAGGGGAGAUGGGGCUCAGGCCCCCUCCCUGAGCCUAGGGUAACCCUGAUGGUGAAAGAGACUCCCGUGGACUUUUUAAUUGACACAGGGGCAGAACAUUCUGUGUUGAAACAUCCACUG
rnacentral:lncRNA from 1 species